GUGGGGAAUAUUGGACAAUGGGCGCAAGCCUGAUCCAGCCAUGCCGCGUGAGUGAUGAAGGCCUUAGGGUUGUAAAGCUCUUUUGUCCGGGAAGAUAAUGACUGUACCGGAAGAAUAAGCCCCGGCUAACUUCGUGCCAGCAGCCGCGGUAAUACGAAGGGGGCUAGCGUUGUUCGGAAUCACUGGGCGUAAAGCGCACGUAGGCGGACCAUUAAGUCAGGGGUGAAAGCCUGGAGCUCAACUCCAGAACUGCCUUUGAUACUGAUGGUCUCGAGUAUGGAAGAGGUUGGUGGAACUGCGAGUGUAGAGGUGAAAUUCGUAGAUAUUCGCAAGAACACCGGUGGCGAAGGCGGCCAACUGGUCCAUUACUGACGCUGAGGUGCGAAAGCGUGGGGAGCAAACAGGAUUAGAUACCCGGGUAGUCC
rnacentral:rRNA from 1 species